CACGUAGGGCGCAAGCGUUGUCCGGAAUUAUUGGGCGUAAAGAGCUCGUAGGCGGUCUGUUACGUCUGCUGUGAAAACCCGGGGCUUAACCCUGGGCUUGCAGUGGAUACGGGCAGACUAGAGGCAGGUAGGGGGAGAAUGGAAUUCCCGGUGUAGCGGUGAAAUGCGCAGAUAUCGGGAGGAACACCGGUGGCGAAGGCGGUUCUCUGGGCCUGACCUGACGGCUGAGGA
rnacentral:rRNA from 1 species